GACGAACGCUGGCGGCGUGCUUAACACAUGCAAGUCGAACGUGAGAGGUAGCAAUAUCUUGAAAGUGGCGAACGGGUGAGUAACACGUAGGUAACCUGCCUCGGAGUGGGGGAUAACAGUUAGAAAUGACUGCUAAUACCGCAUGAAUCCAUGGAUUGGGGACAAUCGGUGGAGAAAACUCUGGUGCUUCGAGAGGGGCCUGCGGCCGAUUAGCUAGUUGGUGGGGCAAAGGCCUACCAAGGCGACGAUCGGUAGCUGGUCUGAGAGGACGAUCAGCCACACGGGAACUGAGACACGGUCCCGACUCCUACGGUGGGCAGCAGUGAGGAAUAUGGGGCAAUGGGCGGAAGCCUGACCCAGCAACGCCGCGUGGAGGAAUGAAGGCCUUCGGGUUGUAAACUCCUUUUGCAGGGGAAGAGGAAGGACGGUACCCUGCGAAUAAGUCACGGCUAACUACGUGCCAGCCGCCGCCGUAAUAC
rnacentral:rRNA from 1 species